rnacentral:rRNA from 1 species
CAGUCGCCGCGGGAAUACGUAGGUGGCAAGCGUUAUCCGGAAUUAUUGGGCGUAAAGCGCGCGUAGGCGGUUUUUUAAGUCUGAUGUGAAAGCCCACGGCUCAACCGUGGGGGGUCAUUGGAAACUGGAAAACUUGAGUGCAGAAGAGGAAAGUGGAAUUCCACGUGUAGCGGUGAAAUGCGCAGAGAUAUGGAGGAACACCAGUGGCGAAGGCGACUUUCUGGUCUGUAACUGACGCUGAUGUGCGAAAGCGUGGGGAUCAAACAGGAUUAGAUACCCCUGUAGUCCCUGUCUCUUAUAC